AGCGAACGCUGGCGGCAGGCCUAACACAUGCAAGUCGAACGAAGUCUUCGGACUUAGUGGCGGACGGGUGAGUAACACGUGGGAACGUGCCUUUAGGUUCGGAAUAACUCAGGGAAACUUGUGCUAAUACCGAAUGUGCCCUUCGGGGGAAAGAUUUAUCGCCUUUAGAGCGGCCCGCGUCUGAUUAGCUAGUUGGUGAGGUAAAGGCUCACCAAGGCGACGAUCAGUAGCUGGUCUGAGAGGAUGAUCAGCCACAUUGGGACUGGGACACGGCCCAAACUCCUACGGGAGGCAGCAGUGAGGAAUCUUGCGCAAUGGGCGAAAGCCUGACGCAGCCAUGCCGCGUGAAUGAUGAAGGUCGUAGGAUUGUAAAAUUCUUUCACCGGGGACGAUAAUGACGGUACCCGGAGAAGAAGCCCCGGCUAACUUCGUGCCAGCAGCCGCAGUAAUAC
rnacentral:rRNA from 1 species